AGCGAACGCUGGCGGCAGGCCUAACACAUGCAAGUCGAACGAACCCUUCGGGGUUAGUGGCGGACGGGUGAGUAACAUGUGGGAACGUGCCUUUAGGUUCGGAAUAACUCAGGGAAACUUGUGCUAAUACCGAAUGUGCCCUUCGGGGGAAAGAUUUAUCGCCUUUAGAGCGGCCGCGUCUGAUUAGCUAGUUGGUGAGGUAAUGGCUCACCAAGGCUACGAUCAGUAGCUGGUCUGAGAGGAUGACCAGCCACAUUGGGACUGAGACACGGCCCAAACUCCUACGGGAGGCAGCAGUGGGGAAUCUUGCGCAAUGGGCGAAAGCCUGACGCAGCCAUGCCGCGUGGAUGAUGAAGGUCUUAGGAUUGUAAAAUCCUUUCACCGGUGAAGAUAAUGACUGUAGCCGGAGAAGAAGCCCCGGCUAACUUCGUGCCAGCCGCCGCCGUAAGAC
rnacentral:rRNA from 1 species